rnacentral:rRNA from 1 species
GGGCCCGCACAAGCGGUGGAGUAUGUGGUUUAAUUCGACGCAACGCGAAGAACCUUACCAGGGUUUGACAUCCACUGAAUGCCUAAGAGAUUAGGCCGGCCCCUUCGGGGGACAGUGAGACAGGUGGUGCAUGGCUGUCGUCAGCUCGUGUCGUGAGAUGUUGGGUUAAGUCCCGCAACGAGCGCAACCCUUAUCCUGUGUUACCAGCGUGAAAGACGGGGACUCACAGGAGACUGCCGCCGACAAGGCGGAGGAAGGCGGGGAUGACGUCAAGUCAUCAUGCCCCUUAUGUCCUGGGCUACACACGUACUACAAUGGGUGCGAACAGAGGGCAGCAAUCCCGCGAGGGGGAGCCAAUCCCACAAAAGCACUCUCAGUUCGGAUCGCAGGCUGCAACCCGCCUGCGUGAAGUCGGAAUCGCUAGUAAUCGCAGAUCAGCAGGCUGCGGUGAAUACGUUCCGGGCCUUGUACACACCGCCCGUCACACCACGAAAGUCUGCAACACCCGAAGCCGGUGGGGUAACCGCAAGGAGCCAGCCGUCGAAGGUGGGGCCGAUGAUUGGGGUGAAGUCGUAACAAGGUAGCCGUAUCGGAAGGUGCGGCU